rnacentral:rRNA from 1 species
GAUGAACGCUGGCGGCGUGCCUAAUCCAUGCAAGUCGAGCGAACAGAUGAGGAGCUUGCUCCUCUGACGUUAGCGGCGGACGGGUGAGUAACACGUGGAUAACCUACCUAUAAGACUGGGAUAACUUCGGGAAACCGGAGCUAAUACCGGAUAAUAUAUUGAACCGCAUGGUUCAAUAGUGAAAGACGGUUUUGCUGUCACUUAUAGAUGGAUCCGCGCCGCAUUGGCUAGUUGGUAAGGUAACGGCUUACCAAGGCAACGAUGCGUAGCCGACCUGAGAGGGUGAUCGGCCACACUGGAACUGAGACACGGUCCAGACUCCUACGGGAGGCAGCAGUAGGGAAUCUUCCGCAAUGGGCGAAAGCCUGACGGAGCAACGCCGCGUGAGUGAUGAAGGUCUUCGGAUCGUAAAACUCUGUUAUUAGGGAAGAACAAAUGUGUAAGUAACUAUGCACGUCUUGACGGUACCUAAUCAGAAAGCCACGGCUAACUACGUG